UGGAAGAUCAUCGUGAAAGGACGUGUAAUCAGUUUCAGUGAUUCAGUGAACAAUUUUAUUUAUAAACUGUUACCGAAUUUAUAAAUUGCUAUCAAUUUCGUUUAUUUAAUAAUCCAUUUAUUAUUAUAGUGACGAAAUCAAUUAGUUUUGAAUUUUUUUUGUGUUUUUUACACUCAAUCAUAUAUUUGAUUGUUGAGGUUAUUGAUAGUUCGUCUUUUAUUAAAUCGAGAUUCGAAUAUAUUUAUUAUUUCAUCUUAAUAUAGUUUUUUUAUACAUUUAUUUUACGAUUUUGAUUUCAUUUAUUACGUUUGAUUGAGAUAAUUUCGAAGAAAAAAUAAUUUAUAUCAUACAUACACCACACGUUCGACUUUUCUACAAGACUGAAUACCUGAUUAUUGAUGCAACUUCAAAAGUGGAAAACUUUCGAUAUGGACAUAUUUUUUUAAGGAGAAAUUUGAUAGAUGGCGUGUGUAUUCAAUGGAGAGGGAAAAUUGACAUGGAGGGAGAAGCAUCGCGGUGGAAAUUGUCCUCCUUUUCGAGGGGGUGUGAAAGGGGAGGUCGAGAGAGGUUGGAUGCGGCCAAGGGUCUUCUCUCCAGGAAGCAACCGGCAGAAGCCAUUAAAGCGAGCGGAGAAUGCGGUGGAGCUAAUGCGUCGUGAAUUAAUGCAUCAGCGAUACGCAUUUCAAUAUCGAUGUUGUCUUGUAAAUUUUUAAUGAAUCGCGAAAUGAUUAGUAUAAGAUAUUCAAAAAUGAACUUUCUAUUUUUUUCAUCGAUGCAUAACUAUUUACUCCCUUCCUUUUCUCAUUCAUACAUGAUCUUAAAUGCGUAAAUAUGACCAAUAUUUAUUUUCGACCAAUAUACCCAUUUCUAUAAAUACACUUGAUUUGUCAAAAUCAGCCAAUCGUUGGAACCAAAAAUUUGCUUCAAUAUACGAACUGUGAAUCAAAUUACAAGAGAUUACACGAAAAAAUAAUUACUCUGAUAAAUACCAAUCUUAAUCCCUAAUUAAAAAAAAAAACAAAAUAUCACCUACCUAAAAAAACGAGCAAUAUUCUAUACGUAACAAAAACCAAUACCGAUAUAAGCUUCAAAUUAUUCCGAAUGACAAUAUGACAUGCAGGUUGUUAGCCGCUUAUUGGUUUCAUAAAUUCGAUAAUGCAGCCGGGGCUGGCGGCGACAGGUCUUGUGUACGCGGCUUAAUGGAAUCUUAAAGUUUAAGAGAAUUUUCCGGGGCUCGUGGUGGCGUCAACCGUAUCUGAGCCAGACAACCGAAUAGUCAACUGAUAUACGAGCAAGCGUUUCCGAAGGAAAGUGGGCGAGGAGGGGAGGAAUCACGCAUUUAUUUUCGCGGCACGACGGAGAAAAGGGAUGGAAAUCUUUCUUCAGUAUCGUGAAUGGGAUACUCGUGGAGGGGGAAGGAUCCUUGCUGGUUUCACCGGUUGAAAUAUAUAUAUAUAUAUAUAUAUAGGCUGAAUUCUGUUAAAUCUAGUGGAAUUAAACGUUGAAGGGCACUUAAGGAGAGGGGAAACACGAUGGGCGUUUAUAGCGAGCCUCGUCAGGUUGAAGACACGAUUUAUUUCGACGUUUUCCCUCAGCGAAGUUUGCGGUGAUACUUCUUCGAUGUGCGUGUUUCGUCGUUCCUUAAAAUUAAAGCUAAGAAUGAUUGAUGUGUAUUUAUUUGAAUUUUGUUUUGAAAAACAGAAAUGAUACUUGUGUAUUGAAUAUUUUGUGUAAUUGAGAGAAAAAAAGAUACGUUUUAUUUUUAUUAUAGUGAAAUUUUGUUUUGAAAGCGUAUAUCUGUUUGAGUGAUUAAAAUUAGGUAUAUUUGUAAAUAUCGUACAAUAUGUAUUAUACAAUACAUGCAAAAAUAUGUAUAUAUAUCGAUUUUAUACAAUUCAUUGUAGUUUAUACAAUAUGGUAUUGCACUAUAAUAAAUAAACUGU